rnacentral:rRNA from 2 species
UUUGAGUCUCCUGAAGGAACGUUAAAGACGAUGACGUUGAUAGGCCGGGUGUGUAAGCGCAGCGAUGCGUUGAGCUAACCGGUACUAAUGAACCGUGAGGCUUAACCUUACAACGCCGAAGGUGUUU